UGUAGUCAUAUGCUUGUCUCAAAGAUUAAGCCAUGCAUGUCUAAGUAUAAGCAAUUAUACAGCGAAACUGCGAAUGGCUCACUAUAUAAGUUAUCGUUUAUUUGAUAGUACCUUACUACUUGGAUAACCGUGGUAAUUCUAGAGCUAAUACAUGCUAAAAAUCCCGACUUCGGAAGGGAUGUAUUUAUUAGAUUAAAAACCAAUGCCCUUCGGGGCUCCUUGGUGAUUCAUGAUAACUUCUCGAAUCGCAUGGCCUUGUGCCGGCGAUGGUUCAUUCAAAUUUCUUCCCUAUCAACUUUCGAUGUUUGGGUAUUGGCCAAACAUGGUUGCAACGGGUAACGGAGGGUUAGGGCUCGACCCCGGAGAAGGAGCCUGAGAAACGGCUACUACAUCCAAGGAAGGCAGCAGGCGCGCAAAUUACCCAAUCCCGACACGGGGAGGUAGUGACAAUAAAUACUGAUACAGGGCUCUUUUGGGUCUUGUAAUUGGAAUGAGUACAAUUUAAAUCCCUUAACGAGGAACAAUUGGAGGGCAAGUCUGGUAAUCG
rnacentral:rRNA from 1 species